rfam:Streptococcus infantis SK970 ctg1129914002305, whole genome shotgun sequence.
AUUUGUCGUAGGUUUUGUCUGAAAUAUUGUCCGGACAAGGCUCACAGCAGUUAAAUCU